rnacentral:rRNA from 1 species
UACGGAGGGUGCGAGCGUUGUCCGGAAUCACUGGGCGUAAAGGGCGCGUAGGUGGCCCGACAAGUCAAUGGUGAAAGCUCGACGCUCAACGUCGAGUCGGCCACUGAUACUGUUGGGCUGGAGCACUGUAGAGGCUCAUGGAAUUCCGGGUGUAGCGGUGGAAUGCGUAGAGAUCCGGAAGAACACCGGUGGCGAAGGCGGUGAGCUGGGCAGUAGCUGACACUGAGGCGCGAAAGCUAGGGGAGCGAACGGG